AGAGGACACUAAAAGAGCAGGACCUAGCAGACCUGACGUGGUAGCUGCUGUACUGCCAGGCAGCUACCACAGGGCCCCUGCUAACAGGCUCAGGAGGCAACUCCUCUCCUUGAUCUUUGCUCCUCGGCUGGCUAUCGCUGAGCUCUUGCAUCUUUUGUCUACCCUUGCCUUUUGCUUACGAAAGACAGCUUCUGCUUGAUUUGCCUGGUCCUGCACCCUCUGCUCAGCCUCCAGCUGUGCUUUGACUUCUCGCUGUGGCUCGGUGCAGCCAGUGUCCUUGCAUCUCCCUGCCCUGCAGGCUGCUUUCUGCCCCCGCUUCUUGCCCUGAUAUUCCCUGGACCUUAUAUUGGAGUGACUUUACCACUGAACCUGCCUUGUGUUUCUACUACUGGAUUCAGUCUGGCCCUAAUUCAGAAGAACUGAUGACAGGUUUAUAUUGAAGGCCUCAAUCAAGUGGGUGGCCAGAGCCGUGUGAAGAGAGGAAGCAGCCUGGCUGAGGCAGGAGCUUACCCCACGUUUCCUGUGCCCUUGGAUAGUCCAGAACGACGUGUUCAUACUCUGCAGUAUAUGCUGGAAGGAGACGAAGACAGAAAGACCUUCAGGAUAAUGUGCCUCCCCCACCCGCCUUCAGCACCUUUGUUUGUGGAAAUCAGUGGCUCCCCCAGACAUCUGGCAAGUAUUGUGGCUGUAUCUGAGAGGUGCUGGAGAAGGAGUCUGGCAUCGAUGUUAAAUGCAGUACAAGAAAACAGAGAGAAGUGAAGUCGCUGCCUUAAGGAGGGAGACGUCCGUUUGCAGCACUGCAAGAUGGCACAGAGAGUGCAUAGGCACAGCUUUUAUUGCAGGCUAAGAUUGAAUUAAGGUCUCCUCAGCACUGUUUUGAGCUACCUCCUAGUUCUCUGUAGGUCAUUCAGACCCUCCAGUCCCCUCUGUUGGCAUUCUUCAUCCACACGUGGAUGCCGGCUCCUGCUGCCGUUCUUCUCCAGCUCCGUUUGGGAUCCAAGGAGAUAAAACACUAGCAAACCUGCACGGUACUAAUAAAAGGCUUUGGGGAUGUCUGGUAAGACA
rnacentral:lncRNA from 1 species